CGAACGAACUUUACGUUAGUGGCACACUGCUCAGUAACACGUAGCUAACCUAACCUUAGGACGAGGACAACCCCGAGAAAUUGGGGCUAAUCCGCGAUAGGUGUGAUGUCCUGGAAUGGUAUUACGCCCAAAGGUGUUCGCACGCCUAAGGAUGGGGCUGCGGCCGAUCAGGCAGUUGGUGAGGUAAAGGCUCACCAAACCUUUGACCGGUACGGGCCAUGAGAGUGGUAGCCCGGAGAUGGACACUGAGACAAGGGUCCAGGCCCUACGGGGCGCAGCAGGCGCUAAACCUCCUCAAUGCACUCACGUGCGAAGGGGUUACCUCGAGUGCCGUCUGAAGAAGGCGGCUUUUCCAUGGUCUAAAAAGCCUAAGGAAUAAGAGGGGGGCAAGACUGGUGUCAGCCGCCGCGGUAACACCAGCCCCUCGAGUGGUGGGGAUGAUUAUUUGGCCUAAAGCGUCCGUAGCCGGCCGGGUAAGUCUCCCGUUAAAUCCAGCGUCUCAAGCGUUGGACUGCGGGAGAUACUGUCUGGCUAGAGAGUGGGAGAGGUGUACGGUAUUCU
rnacentral:rRNA from 1 species